rnacentral:rRNA from 1 species
GACGAAGGGGGCUAGCGUUGUUCGGAAUUACUGGGCGUAAAGCGCGUGUAGGCGGUUGCCCAAGUCGGGUGUGAAAGCCUUGAGCUCAACUCAAGAAAUGCACUCGGUACUGGGUGACUAGAGGACCGGAGAGGAUAGUGGAAUUCCCAGUGUAGUGGUGAAAUACGUAGAGAUUGGGAAGAACACCAGUGGCGAAGGCGGCUAUCUGGACGGUUUCUGACGCUGAGGUGCGAAAGCGUGGGGAGCAAACAGG